GACGAACGCUGGCGGCGUGCUUAACACAUGCAAGUCGAACGGUAAGGCCCUUCGGGGUACACGAGUGGCGAACGGGUGAGUAACACGUGGGUGAUCUGCCCUGCACUUCGGGAUAAGCCUGGGAAACUGGGUCUAAUGCCGGAUAGGACCACUGCCUGCAUGGGUGGUGGUGGAAAGCUUUUGCGGUGUGGGAUGGGCCGGCGGCCUAUCAGCUUGUUGGUGGGGUGAUGGCCUACCAAGGCGACGACGGGUAGCCGGCCUGAGAGGGUGACCGGCCACACUGGGACUGGAAUACGUCCCAGACUCCUACGGGAGGCAGCAGGGGGGAAUAUUGCACAAUGGGCGCAAGCCUGAUGCAGCGACGCCGCGUGAGGGAUGACGGCCUUCGGGUUGUAAACCUCUUUCAGCACCGACGAAGCGCAAGUGACGGUAGGUGCAGAAGAAGGACCGGCCAACUACGUGCCAGCCGCCGCCGUAA
rnacentral:rRNA from 1 species